UGGGGAAUAUUGCACAAUGGGCGCAAGCCUGAUGCAGCCAUGCCGCGUGUGUGAAGAAGGCCUUCGGUUGUAAAGCACUUUCAGCGAGGAGGAAGGUGGUGAGCUUAAUACGCUCAUCAAUUGACGUUACUCGCAGAAGAAGCACCGGCUAACUCCGUGCCAGCAGCCGCGGUAAUACGGAGGGUGCAAGCGUUAAUCGGAAUUACUGGGCGUAAAGCGCACGCAGGCGGUUUGUUAAGUCAGAUGUGAAAUCCCCGGGCUCAACCUGGGAACUGCAUUUGAAACUGGCAAGCUAGAGUCUCGUAGAGGGGGGUAGAAUUCCAGGUGUAGCGGUGAAAUGCGUAGAGAUCUGGAGGAAUACCGGUGGCGAAGGCGGCCCCCUGGACGAAGACUGACGCUCAGGUGCGAAAGCGUGGGGCAGCAAACAGGAUUAGAUACCCUGGUAGUCCACGCUGUAAACGAUGUCGAUUUGGAGGUUGUGCCCUUGAGGCGUGGCUUCCGGAGCUAACGCGUUAAAUCGACCGCCUGGGGAGUACGGCCGCAAGGUUAAAACUCAAAUGAAUUGACGGGGUC
rnacentral:rRNA from 1 species